GCGGGGCCGGGGUCGGGCGCUGCUGUGUGUGUGUGCGUGUGUCCGUGUGCGCGCCGCCCCGGGGCUGCCACUCACGAGCUCCUUAUUUAGGUCAAUUAGGGAGCAAAUCCCGGCGCGGGGGGAGCGGCGGUGCCGGCCCCGGCACACGGGCAGCAGCCGGGAGGGGGGGGGGGGGGGGGCAUGACCACUGCGCGUCCCGGCCUCUCCAUUGGCUGCAGAGGGCCGAGCGGGCAGCCCGGCCAGCCAAUGGGCUCGGCGAACAUCGAGGUUAUAUUAAUAUCAUUAAUAAUAAUCAACCUCCCUCUCCGCUCCCCCUACCCCCCCCCCCCCCCCCCCCGCCCCCCACCCGGCCUCUGAGCGCGGUAGCCGCGGAGCUUUCAUGUCUGCGGAGAUGGAUGGAAGAGACGGAGGAGACGCGCCCUCCGCAGCCGGGCCGUACAGCCAUCACCCGGCGGGGCGGUGGGCACCGGGGAGCACCCGAAUGUGCGAGGCCGAGCACCGGAGAGCGAGGAACCUUUGUCUGCGAGGUCUCCCGAGGACGCCCGAGUGUUCAUAGCACGCUUUCCGGAUGGGGCAGGGCUCCCCAACAAACCCCACAGCGGGGCAGAACGGUGACCCUCUGCCUUUUUUCCCGAGACUGGACAGGACACAUCGGUCGAUCCCGGGACCACGACGGGGACGGAGGAUGGGUCAGUCUGGUGUGCCAUAACCCUGACCUGAGUUUGUGGAGUCAGGUAUCCCGACACAUCCUUGAAGCACAAACUCAGAUGGUGUACAAUGCUAUGCCUGCAAAUACAGCACUUGCACAGACAUGUCUGAAGAAGGAAAAGAAGGUGUGCGUUCGCUUCAUCCUCGGGCGGGGCUCUCUCUACGGAGCACAGGGAAAAGACCCAGAGAUUUUCAGCGCUCAUUUUCGGGAGGUGUAGCCCCGCAGAUGCCACACUCCUCCCGGUCUAUGUUUUUCUCCUGUAUGUCCCGGAGCUGGGGACUGCCGGGGCCGUCCCUGUGAGCAUCUCCGUUCUGGUCCGCAGCCCGGCAUUGGGUGGGUGCCGGCAGGUGACAGCUUCUCAGGGCCACCCCCUCUCGUUCCCUCCCCGCCUCUGUGGGCUCCUGAGCCUUCGGAAGCUCAACGCACAAAGCGAGGGGAAGGGAGGAGCGGGGGCUCGAGCUCCGAGAGGAGCCGGAGGACCGAGAAGGGCAUUUGGGGUGGAAAGGGUGCGAAUAGGUGCCGCAAGCGACAGCUCCAGUACGGGGAACCGGCCCCACGGAGCGGAGCGGGCCUGCAAUGUGAAUGCAAUUACGCCGCCUGUGUUUGAUGCCUCCCCUUACUCUUCCCCCACAAGCAGUGCCUCGGUACGUCUUAAAAUAGAAGCGAAAUGAAAGGCAGCCUUGAGCACUCUCUCCUUCCUAAACUCUGCUCCACUCCGCUUUUAGGAGCGCGCGAUGGGUUUGGGGUCCGGAGCUUUACAGGAGCGCUACGACGGGAGUGGGAGUGCGAGAGGGCUCUCCCUUCUCCGUACCCACAGAGGCGCUCCGUGCCUACCGUCCUCCCGGCAGCCCCGACGGCAGCGCUGUAGGGAAGGGUUCUGGGCCACCACCCGCCUCUGGUUCUCUGGUUGAUAUAGGUGUAUGUAUAUAUGCAUAUAUAUAUAGUAAAGCUUGCAGAAAUGUUUGCUUAAACUAUAAAAAUAAAGCCAAUAAAAGACCCUACGUGCGUCUUCAGUAAACCACUACCAACGCUACGAGAAAUAUUCGGAAGCAAUUUUUUUUUUCCCGAGUUUUUUUCCGUGCUCAGUGGUCCCUUAGAAAAGUGGAGGUGGUGCAAACGUUUGGAUAUCUCCCUUUAAAAGAAGCGUAAAAUAAAACAAACGAUCGACUUGAAAUUGGUUGCCCGGCCUCUGUGUGAUGCUUCCUCCUCCCCGACAGCGCAGCUCCAGCUGUGUUGUCCCCCAGAAGCGGUGGCUGCAGAGCAGGACCCGAGGGACGGGGCUCACGUUCCCCGGUCGACUGCGAGGGAUGCCCCCGCGGCCCCGCCCCGUCGGGGUGAGGAUCCUGAGGACAUCUCAUGAAGGUGUCCCAUUUUGGGUGGCAGGACGAAGAUCCGACACCGUCCCAGGCUGGGCGGGGAGCCCGGAUCCUGCCUCGUUGGAACCCCGAGGAGCUCUGCCCGCAGGUUUUGUAGCCCCCGAGCUAUAGGAAAUACAGCUUUAGUCUAUACGUAAGUACAGACCUGAGAGCCUUAAAACCCUUCAAAUGCAUAUUUAACAGCGCUUGAGUUCAGCAACACUGUGAGCGCUUCCUUUCUUAAUGAUAAACGCAAUGAGAGAUUUCCAAAGGUGAGGUAAAUUGUAAUUACGGUCUUUCUUUUACUUGCAGAUUUUUUUUGCCUCUAUAAAGUCCUCCCUUACUGAUUUCUUCACUGCUAAUGACACUGGUGGAGAACUUUUCCUAUUUCAAGACCACUGCAUAACUCGCGCUGACUCCCAUGAAUGUAUUCAUUAUUCACAGAGAGUCACUAAGUGCUCUGCAUGGAAACUUCCAGUCCGUCGCAUGUCCUGACUCUCACUGUUGCCUGUUAAGUGUUCCUUACGGAUGGUAUGCCACUGGGAGCACGAAACUCAUGGCUUUAGUGCCGUUUCCUUCCUAAGCGAAGGAAAUCUCAAUCCACGAUAAAUGAUCAAAGAGGGGAACGUGCCUGGGUAGGCGAAUAAAUAAAUGAAGAAAGAAGUUGGAGAAUUAUUUGAGGGGAUAUGUAUCCUCAUGUGUUAAAAUACGAAAAUAUCUCUUAAUUGCUUGACUGGAGGUUAGAACAAAAUGGAUCAGCAACAAAUUAUGCAAUACAUUAAAAAUAAAUAAUUAAUUAAAUAAAGUAGUCCCCACUGAAAAGAGCUGACAAUUGUUCAGAAGUGACUUUUCCAGAAAGACUUUUGGCAUCGAUUUCAUUAUAAAAUUUUAACAUGAGGGUUUUUUUUUCUUCCUAUGUACAGUGUAAGAAUGCAUGGUUUUAUUGGUACUGGUUAGGGUCAGCCACAGGAGAAUUAUGGAGGUCAUGUGAAAUAGGUGCCAAUAAAGCUUUUAUUAUUGUUAUACAGACAAAAGAGCAUUAUGGAAUGAGAUCCUUACCAGACCUAAACGUCGAUAUUUUGUUCUGCUAACAAUCAAGUUGGAAAACACAGAGACACAGCUAAAAAAAGGAGUGAAUUUUCAGAGCCAUUGGGCAUUAACCUAUUAUCCUAAAACAUUUGGAAUUGAAUUCCCUCAUAAAAUGGAGGUCUCCUGAAGUGAAAGACUGUACACGACUUUUGAUGUUGCCUAAAACAAAAGAUGAAUGGGAAAAAUAUUGCACUGUCACAACAAAAUGUAGCUGUUUCCAUUCAGGAGUCGUUUAUGUGCUGUCUGUGUGUUACACAGUGUGAGAAAAUUGAACUAUUUUUAAUUGCCAGGACAGCCCUUGGCUGUGGUUUGUAUCUACCUACAGUUUGAAACCGAAGAUUUCCCAUCAAUGUAGAGGAAAUAUUAUACUCGUCCCAUCACCUGAUCUUGAAUGAUUUUGGUAGAUUGUUAAACCAUUGUCAAGGGCUGCAAUGAAACUCCUCCAUGUGUUGAUACGUUGGAUUCUUAGACCCAGCUUCAGCAGUUGUUGGAACUCGGUGAAUUCAGUGAGAGCUCUCACCUUCUCAAAUCUGACCAUCUCAAGAGUUUCAGAUUAAUUCCAGGAAGGAGACAAAUUCAAUCAAAGCAAGCAUUAAGAGCUGUACAGUACAAAACAUUCUUUGUAUUUUUACAGUACUGUAAAAGGAGAAUUGAUGCACAGAUCAAUGUUAUCCCCCCAGUACUGCUAAAAGUUAUAUUCGCUUUUGCAUUUUGAAAAUAAAACGUUUAAAACUGUGUAUACUGUAUGGUAAAGUUUUAGGAAAACUUGUGAAAAUUAAGUGGGCCCUUAUUCUAUAUAAAUUCUCCCAUAUUUGAGGGUUACAUUAAUAAGAAGCAAGUAAGUAUGCUCUCCACAGAUAGGAAGCAGAAAACAUCCACUUCCCACUGACCUGUAAUUCAUUUAUCAUAUCAGAGGACAACAAACCAAGCUUUAAACCUGCUGUUAGAGCAAGGAGAGUAUUUUUCACUGUCAGGUGAGAACUACGCUUUUGCAAAUCAUAUUUGAAUGAAACAUAUAUUUCCCCCUUGCCCCAAAAAAUCCUCUUUCA